CAUCUUAAUAUAGGCUUUGUCCCGCACUGCUGCAUAUGAAUGCACUGUUCACUUCAGCAUGACUCAAUCCCUACUGAGGCACAGGAAAGCACUAUGCAGUUUAGUGACUCACUUCAGCGUGAUUCAAGUCCACUGGAUCCACUUUCUGCUGACUACUGUGAUCAACCAGAAUUACAUGAAAUAUGCUGAACAAAACUCUUCACCAUAUCACAAGCCAGAGCAAAGAAAGCAAGAAGAGAACAAGGCACAUAGUGUUAAAUGAUCCUUCUUCAUCUAGCAACUGAUGGAAACAGAGGCAGAGACCCACAUCAAACCAAUGGACUGAGCUCUACAAGUCCAGUUGAAGAGUGAGAGGAGUGAAAAUCUGAGC